AACGCACAUUGCGCCCGUUAGCAUUCUAGCGGGCAUGCCUGUCCGAGCGUCAUUUCAACCCUCAGGGUCCCCGUUCCGGCGGGGAACCUGGUGUUGGGGAUCGGCCCGCCCCGUGCGGCGCCGUCCCCCAAAUUCAGUGGCGGUCUCGCUGCAGCCUCCCCUGCGUAGUAGUUACAACCUCGCAUCGGAGCUCAGCGCGGCCACGCCGUAAAACCCCCGACUUUCUGAACGUUGACCUCGGAUCAGGUAGGAAUACCCGCUGAACUUAA
rnacentral:misc_RNA from 2 species